UACAAAUGAUGUUUUCUCACGAUGGUCUUCCAAGCCUUCUAGGCGCUGACGAUAAUGCCUUAUGGCAACACUGAUGUAGUAGA